AGAAUCAGCUUUAAUCAGUGAUUUCACCCAAAGCAGCUGUGGGCUGUUUGCUGGGAGACGCUCCCAAGGGCUGUUUAGGUUUGCAGCUGGGACAAAUCAGCUGCAAUCAGCUCCAAUCAGCUCCCCAUAAAGCUCUCACUUCCCCGGCUCUGGGGAAGAGUUUGGGCUUUGUGCUCUGAGCUGCAUAUGUCUCUGAACUUGGAUGGUGCUUUUUCUGGUGUUGGAGGGAAGCAGAACAGAAGUGUGAUUCCCCAAGCUUUCAAGGUGAGCAGAUUUCAUCCACACCAGCCUGGAACUUCAGCCUGGGAUUCUUCCCACAGCUGUGCCUGCCUAAGGACCUUGUCAACCACGCUUAACUCCUGAGGCUGGGAGAACCCCGCUGCUGUGCAGACUCCUCUCCCACCCUAAGCAGGCCACUAUUUCCAGCAUUCCUGCCACCCUACCACAGCUGAAUUUACCCCUGCUGAUAUCCUGAGAGCUGCAGGAAGGUUUGUGAAAGCAUUCUUGCCUCAGCUCUCCCCCGUGGCAGCCUUGUCCAGCCACCCACCUUGCCCGUAUCCGACUCAGGAGCCAGCGCCUUUGCCAGAGCCUUGCUGCCAGUUCCUGCUCCCCAGCCCUGCCUGCUGCUGUGCUGCAGUGGGGUUAGGAAUCACCUGAAUCCUCCCUGCACACAGGAGGUGCUCUGGAUAUGGAGUCUGGUGCCCCUGUUUGGUUCUCCAAAGCUGCUGCCACAGAGCUCCCUCUGGGUGGGCAUUCCACCCUCUGGAGCUUUCAGGAGGCUUCAUUCCCUGCGUGUUACCAGAGGCAUGAAGUGACUGAGCCAAGCUAACCUAGGCAAACAUCUGCCUAAGUUAAACAUUGGUUUAACUUCAUACUUUUCUCAGGCAUUCAGAAACAUAACCCUGUAAAAAAAAAAAAAAAAGCACUGUACUUCUAUCACAGGCAUAUUUUAACUUUUUCUCUUCUUUUAUCUUUCUUUUUGUCUUUUGAGAAGGUGAUUCAAAAUCAAUCAAAAAUAAUAAACUCCUUUGAGUUUAAUCUUGUAGAUGUAUC
rnacentral:lncRNA from 1 species